ensembl:lncRNA
GCUUGCUACGUGCCGGGCACUGUGCUAAGAGCUGGGGAUGUAAAGAAAACCGAAGUCAGUAACUGCCCUCAAGGAGCUCUCGGUCCAACGGGGGAGAAAAACAACGCAAACAACUCUGGACGAACAGAGAUAAAGACAGCAUCGGCUGGAGAUCACCAACAUGGGGGUUACGGCUUUGGCACUGGAGGGAUUCCUAUUUAAAACAAACCGACCGACCCUUACUUUUACCACUUACUUACAAGCCCCCGACGGAGAAGGGGAGGAGGCGGGGGUGGGGGUCGUUACCAGGGUCCAGAAGCAGGUGGCCCCGGCCCUCUGCAUACAGCAGGUGCUUUGUAAGUGUUUGCUACGUGGUCCUCUGCCCCGGGCUCCCCAGAAGAGGCAGCGGGGCUUCCUUCUCCGAGGGCUGGGGCGGCCUCGGCGGCAACACCCCUCGCAGGGGCACGAACCGCAGCCCCCCGCCCCAGCCUCGGCUCGCCCCGCGCGCUCUGCGGCUGUCCGAGGGCCGCCGCCGCCCCGCCGGCAGCGUCACCCGGCAACUGCGGUCAGGGCGGCCUAGGCCGGGCGACGGCGGCCGGGGACCCCUCAGCCAGCGGAGCGGGGACGGCUCCGUCGCGCGCGGCCCGGCCGCUCACCUGGUCCGGCCGACGGCCCCCGAGGGGGCGGUGCAAGGGCUCGCUCCCUUCAGCCGCCGCGCUAGCGCUCCAGCUACUCCACCGCCAUCGCCGCCGGAGCUCCGGGAGCCGGCAGGGAGGCUGGCGAGGGGAGGGGCAGGAAGAAGAGCAGGUCCCGCCGGUCUGGUGAGGUCACUUCCGGUCCUCGAGGAAGGGGCGGAGCCGGCCCGCGAGGCGCCUGAGUGCGUGCGUGCGUGCGGCAGCGGGGAGGCGGAGUCGGAGCAUGAUGGCGGUUCUUUUGAGAGCGAGCUCCGGCUUCAGCUGCGGGACAGCCUCCUCCUCCGGCUCGGCGCCGGCGGUGGUAUCAACCGGAGGAAAAGGACAGUUAUCACAGGAAGUACACCAGAUAAUACAGCAGGCACUGAAAGAAUACAGUGAAGAUCGCAUUGGGCUGGUGGAUUAUGCCCUGGAGUCCUCAGGUAGGUGGCCUGCAGAAAGCCAGAGGGCUCA